GACGAACAGCUCCUGUCGCUGGGAAGGACGGGCGGGCACGGCGCGUGGCACCUGUCUGCAUGCGUCUCAGCUGUCACUUCGGCUGUGGAGAAUGACAGAGAUAAGAGGAACCUCUGCACCAUUCCCACCAAACACUGGAGCCUUUUUUGGGGGGGCAAUUAUGGAGCCGCCCUGUGCCCAGCCUCACCUGCCACCAACCAACCCCUUCUCUGAGUCUGCACCCUCCUCAGCCUUGAUGUUUGGGUCACUGGUGAGGACUGAUCCACCCAGCAAGCAUGGAAC